UACAGGGGGUGCAAACGUUGCUCGGAAUUAUUGGGCGUAAAGAGCGCGCAGGCGGUCGAUCAAGUCGAGUGUGAAAGCCCCCGGCUCAACUGGGGAGGGUCAUUCGAUACUGAUCGACUCGAAGGCAGGAGAGGGUAGUGGAAUUCCCGGUGUAGUGGUGAAAUGCGUAGAUAUCGGGAGGAACACCAGUGGCGAAGGCGACUACCUGGCCUGUUCUUGACGCUGAGGCGCGAAAGCUAGGGGAGCAAACGGG
rnacentral:rRNA from 1 species